AUGGACACAAUUGUCACUUCUCAUGGCAGUCAUCUCAAAGUGUCAUUUGUCCAAAGAGCAAAAAUGCUGAAGUCACCUGCCAGCCCCAGCCUGGAAGCUGCCUCCAAAGCCUUCUCCCUUCCUGGGGUAUGUAAGGACCCCACCUUACCAUUAGAGGCCAGGAUACUGCCACUGCACCGGGACCAGGGAGGUAAGAAGCUUUUUGUAAAGGAUAUUUUAACUGAAAUAAAAAAUGGGGUGGUCUUUGGAGAACUAGAAUGGCUUAUGAGUUUCCCAAUGAGAAAAACUCACCCACUUAAAAGUCAUGGAAUCAGGAAAGCAUGGAUGUGUCCAGAGAUCUGGUCAUUUCUCCAGCACACUCUUGGGACAGAUAUGACCCAGAGCUCUGGGUUAUACCAGUUCAAGAAGCAAAGAGUACAUCCUUGUGUAGAGCAUGUCCCAAGGACCACAAUUCAAGACCAAGAGGCUCAGAGGAGAAAUGAACCUGAGGUUGAGGGCCAGUUGCAGGCAGCUGCCAAUCCUCCCGAAGAAGACCCUGUUCUGCUAGGGCUGUGGCCAGCGAUGUGAACUUCCCACCUCAUCCCUGCUACCAGACUCUGCCCUCAGCCACAUAACCUUCCCAAGGCCAAGGGAAUUGGACCAGGCUCAAGCCCAGACCUUUAUGAUGGUGGCUAUAUAAUGGGUCUGUGUGGGGUAAAAUGAACACAAAUAGACUUGUGAGACAGUAGCAUCCAUAGGCCAUAAGGGAAGAGUGGAAGCCCCUUCCCCAGCUCCCUGGCCUCCCCUCCAGCUUGUCUGUGAGGCCCAAUCUCCUACUGCAUCUGACUCUGUAGUGCCCAGAUCUGCUGGCUUCCUGGGUGCUGCACUUGCUACCUUACUCAGCACCAUCAUAUAUAAAGGUGUCACCUUGAAAACCACAGCACUUGCUCAGAACACCUGCCAACCUGGGUGGUUCGGGACAUGCAAUGAUCACUGGAUGGAUUUCAUUUAAAUUUAGAUGCAUUUCAGCAUCCAGAAUGACUGGCAAUUAAGUUCAAUACAUGUGAGCCUCUGUUUAUUCUUGGGGAAAAUAGGCUUCAGGUCAAAGUGUGUUGAAGGUCAAGGUGUGUUGAUCAAACACAUGCAGACAAUGGCAAGGAUGGUACUUGGGGAACAACAUCAAAGGACACCAUCGGGCUGUGCCUUUGGGUUCCUAGGAAGCAAACUUUGAGAGGGGUCAAGGUCUGCAGAGAAAGGGAGAAGCCAGCUGCAGUCUCCACAGAGACCUCAGAAGAUGCCCUAGGGUUGGAAGUUGGGCCCCUCAGAGCUCCCCUCAGUGGAUGCUGUCACCUGCAGUCCAGGAGAAAAGGGAUGCACCCAUGGGGUCUGUCCAUUCAGCUGGAGCUGCAGCAAUCCCCAAAGAUGGAUAACAGUAGUCAGGGCUGGAAGGUGAGUCCCUGCUCCUGACACCAGGGUGCAUCACAGUGCCAUGCCAGGCCUCCAUGGUGACACACUUGAUGCAACACUAGAGAUAUCCCCAGAUGUCUUAAGUGCCUUGAUGUCUGCCCUCCCGCUGUCUGCAUGUGGUCUCUCAGACACCACUACCCAGGCUUUGCCAACCUAAACCCAAUGCCUCCAAUGUACAAUGUUCAGUGUCCCCACAUAUUUGAGCCUGGUGACACUCGAGAGCAAGACAGGGACAGAGUCUGCAGCUUUCACCAUACAGCCCCAAACAUACAGCCUUGGGGCACUCAGGGCUGGUCCUCCACCAGACCUCCACUUCCUCUGUCCUUGAUUCCAGUGUAUACACUGACACUAGCCCACAUAACCUCCUCAAAGAACUCAGAGUGUGCCAAUGAGGAACCUUG
ensembl:lincRNA